rnacentral:rRNA from 1 species
AUUAUGGCCUCAGGACGAACGCUGGCGGCGUGCCUAAUACAUGCAAGUAGAACGCUGAAGAGAGGAGCUUGCUCUUCUUGGAUGAGUUGCGAACGGGUGAGUAACGCGUAGGUAACCUGCCUUGUAGCGGGGGAUAACUAUUGGAAACGAUAGCUAAUACCGCAUAACAAUGGAUGACACAUGUCAUUUAUUUGAAAGGGGCAAUUGCUCCACUACAAGAUGGACCUGCGUUGUAUUAGCUAGUAGGUGAGGUAAUGGCUCACCUAGGCGACGAUACAUAGCCGACCUGAGAGGGUGAUCGGCCACACUGGGACUGAGACACGGCCCAGACUCCUACGGGAGGCAGCAGUAGGGAAUCUUCGGCAAUGGGGGCAACCCUGACCGAGCAACGCCGCGUGAGUGAAGAAGGUUUUCGGAUCGUAAAGCUUUGUUGUAAGUCAAGAACGGGUGUGAGAGUGGAAAGUUCACACUGUGACGGUAGCUUACCAGAAAGGGACGGCUAACUACGUGC